CACACACCCAGGCAUGUGCAGGAGCCUGUGUGGGGCUGAAGAACAGCUGGUCUUCCUGUCUCCUCUCCUAAUUAGGAAUGGGCUGAAUCCUCCAUACAGACCACCCCACCGACCACCAUUCAUCCACUCACCCGAUAAAUGCUCAUUACUGGCUGCGGGGAGGCCGUCGGCGGUGCCCGGAGAGCAGACAAUAAUCAGCACCAGGGAGCCUGCGUCACCGUUACCAAGGAGACGUCCAACUCGAUUCCUCGACACCGUGGUCUCUGGGCAGUCGAGCCAGGACGCCCGACUCCUAGCAGAAGAGACAAUGAAACUGCAGUUCCUCACGUGCCAGGAGCAGACUCAUCCGUCUCGCUCUCCCUGAGAAAUGAAACGGCUUUUGGAAAAAGAACAGGAAACUCUAUCCGUCUUUCUGCAGCAAUGCAGUCUGUGAGAUGGUACAGAGAGGGCCAAGCGGCGGGGCUGGGAUACAGAUGGGUGAAGGGAGAUGAUGCAACCGCCCCGCCAACGUUAUAAAGAGCUGGAAAUAAGGCGGGCUAUGUAUCAAACCCAACUGACGGCAGGGCUUCGGAAGCAAAGUUUUUCUUUGUUUGCUUAUCACAUAGAAACGAAUCUCCAUGUAACACAGGGAUACCUUGGUGUUUUCAAACUGACCGAUACAAAGGGAGUUUCCAGUUUCUUCCCACCCUCUCCUCCUCCCACACCUCAGUGCUUAUCCCCGGCACUGAUAGGUGCAUGCUAAAUACUUUACAUCCAUAGCAUUUACCAGCUGGCAUUUCUAGUUCCCAGGAACAAAACUCUACAGCAUUUUUAACCACUAAAAUGUAUAUAAAUACGAAUUUAUAUUCCCAAUAACAGACUCCAGCAGCGAGCCCAUCCUCAGGGAGACCACAGAG
rnacentral:lncRNA from 1 species